UAACCUAAAUCAAAUGGACAAGAUCUUGUCUCUCUAAUCUCUUCUCUUGUAUUUCUUUCCGUCCCUUUCUCUUCUCUUUCACUUUCACUUUUUUUUUCUUCGUUAAUCUCAUGCUUCCUAAUCUCACAGAUUUUGUCUCUCUAGUCUCUUUCUUCAUCACCACUAAACCUUUGUCACAACCAGACCUCGUCUUCGUCUCCCCCACAGCUUGUCGUCUUUACAGCCAUAGCUCGCGUCGUCACCACCAUAGCUUGAUCUAAGAAGGAGCAGGGAAGGAGAAGAAGUGGUGUUUUGUUUUUCUGUUCUUAGUUAAAAAAAAUGCGGAGGAUUUUGUUGCUAGCCACCUCGAGUUAUUUAUGAUAGAGGACGACUACAUCAAGUUAGGGAAGAUGCAAAGAAAACGGCUCGAUCUCAGGGAUUAAAGAA